GUAAAGGUAAGACCCUUUACAUGCCCUGACCAUCUGCGGACUUUCCAGGAGAUGAUUAUUCCUUCCAGAAGUACGGCACCAGAGGUGCAUCACGGUUGUCGUCAGGUCGCGUGGGAAGAUGGGGUAAUAACUCCCACAAGCAGAACCACCCUCCUCAUUUACCAGCACGUUCAGUUGGGCACUCUAAGGGGACUGCCGGUGACAAACCGGAGGAAGGUGGGGAUGACGUCAAGUCAUCAUGGCCCUUAUGGCUUGGGCUUCACACGUCAUACAAUGGUCGGUACAAAGGGUUGCCAAGCCGCGAGGUGGAGCCAAUCUCAGAAACCCGAUCGUAGUCCGGAUCGCAGUCUGCAACUCGACUGCGUGAAGUCGGAAUCGCUAGUAAUCGCGGAUCAGCAUGUCGCGGUGAAUACGUUCCCGGGCCUUGUACACACCGCCCGUCACACCAUGGGAGUGGGUUCUCCAGAAGUAGCAGUGUAGCUUAUACUCGGCG
rnacentral:rRNA from 1 species